ACCCAGCUUCUGACGUGCACGGUCCCCUCCAGCCUCCGUAUAAUUAUGUGAAAUUAGGGAUGUGUGGUUGGCUGCAAAGCCAGGGGUAAGCAGUUCUCUUAAAAGCAAAUCCUGAAAACAGACUGUCACUCCCCAUCUGACAUCAUGUUUUGUAAGGCCUCCUGUCUAGAGAGCGCACAAAGCCACGGGCGUUUUGUGGGGCUAAGAGAAGGCCUGGUUGGUGCUACUCUCGGUGGAGCUUCCUGUCUAUCUCACAAAGCUCCAGCGGCAGCAGCCACUCAGCAUGGCGCAGCGUGUGAGUCUUCUGGUCUUUCUCCACGGAGUUCUCACAUUUCAGAUGAAAGGGGUGCUUGGUUUGUCCAAAGAGAGCAGUGACAGCAGUCCUGGAUACAGAGAAGGCUACUAUAUAGUUCCAGUGCUGCCAAUUCAAAGACUGAUGGAGCGACCAGAGUAUGCUUACAACAGGGAGGCAGUGCCCUUGCUAGCUUUGUGGCCAUCCAGUAUUUUUGGAGCGCCAGAUGGAAUUAGGCCCAGAGUCAGCACGGUGGCACGCGUCCAGCUUCAGCCAGUGCCCGUCAUUUCCAGACCAAGUGCGUCCACUUGGGCCCCUUCCUCGUCUGGGAGCACAGCUGUGAGCGGCCCUGUCCUCACACCCUCCGUCCAGCCCAAGACCUUGGAGGGGAACAGAGAGACCUCUGCACCUGGCAACCUGGGGACCUACUGUGACAUGUCAGCCAGGUUUUCCCCGACACCCCAAGUUCUGACAACUCCAGGUCUCCCCACAAAGGGCACACAUCACAGCACCAGCUCCCUCACCUCUUCUCCAACCAAGGAGCCCCGAGGAGACAUGUAAGCUGAUGUCUGGGAGAAGGCCAGGCCCUACGUCUGCAGGGGCUGCUAUCUGUGUGUGGAAGCUACUCUCAAGGGAAGUGUUCAAAGCUCAGGUGGUCCUGGUCACAGUCAAUCACCUCCGGGGAUGUAUCCUCUGAACCUAUUUUUAUUACAGGAUUCACCUCAACCACCAACUCUUGUGGAAACGAAGUUCCAUAAGGAGGCUCCAUAGAACCAGGAAAGUAGCAUAGUCUUUGAGGCAAUUUCUCAGUUACCUAAAAAU
ensembl:lncRNA